rnacentral:rRNA from 1 species
AGUGAACGCUGGCGGUAGGCCUAACACAUGCAAGUCGAACGGCAGCACAGUAAGAGCUUGCUCUUACGGGUGGCGAGUGGCGGACGGGUGAGGAAUACAUCGGAAUCUACUUUUUCGUGGGGGAUAACGUAGGGAAACUUACGCUAAUACCGCAUACGACCUACGGGUGAAAGCAGGGGAUCUUCGGACCUUGCGCGAUUGAAUGAGCCGAUGUCGGAUUAGCUAGUUGGCGGGGUAAAGGCCCACCAAGGCGACGAUCCGUAGCUGGUCUGAGAGGAUGAUCAGCGACACUGGAACUGAGACACGGUCCAGACUACUAAGGGAGGUAGCAGUGGGGAAUAUUGGACAAUGGGCGCAAGCCUGAUCCAGCCAUACCGCGUGGGUGAAGAAGGCCUUCGGGUUGUGAAGCCCUUUUGUUGGGAAAGAAAAGCAGCAGGUUGAUACCCCGCUGUUCUGACGGUACCCAAAGAAUAAGCACCGGCUAACUUCGUG